rnacentral:rRNA from 1 species
AGAGUUUGAUCCUGGCUCAGCCUGAACGCUGGCGGCGUGGCUAAGACAUGCAAGUCGUACGGUGUAGCAAUACACAGUGGCGAACGGGUGAGUAAUGAAUCGCUAAUGUGCCCCGGACUCUGGGAUAGCUGACCGAAAGGGCAGGUAAUACCAGAUGAGACCACGAACAGGCAUCUGUUUGUGCUCAAAGGUCCGCCGGUCUGGGAGCAGGCGAUUUCGUAUCAGCUAGUUGGUGAGGUAACGGCUCACCAAGGCGACGACGCGUAGCCGGACUGAGAGGUUGACCGGCCACAUCGGGACUGAGACACGGCCCAGACUCCUACGGGAGGCAGCAGUGGGGAAUAUUGGACAAUGGGGGCAACCCUGAUCCAGCAAUGCCGCGUGUGUGAAGAAGGCCUGCGGGUUGUAAAGCACUUUCAGUAGAGAAGAAAAGCCUAAGGUUAAUAACCUUGAGUCUUGACGUAACCUACAGAAGAAGCACCC